AUGAUUUGCGAGGAUGUAGAGAGAUCUACAAUCGAAGUUUUUCAAGAAAAGAACUUGGAACUUUCACUGACUCCGAGCGUCUCAUCAGUGAUGCUGAUAAGAAUCAGGUCGCCAUGGACCCUAUCAACACAAUCUUCGGUUUCAUGUGUGUAUGCUCCGGCAUGGCUUACAUUUGCAUCUAGACCUGUCAUGAGCUUUUGUCGUUUGACAUGUUCGUCUUUAAGUUUUUCUCAGGCAAAACAAGUUUGUGUGAAUAUGAUGAGACGAGAUCCAGUGUUUGUGAGGAAGAAGCAAUCAUCAGUUCCAUAA